rnacentral:rRNA from 1 species
GACGAACGCUGGCGGCGUGCCUAAUACAUGCAAGUAGAACGCUGAAGGAGGAGCUUGCUCUUCUGGAUGAGUUGCGAACGGGUGAGUAACGCGUAGGUAACCUGCCUGGUAGCGGGGGAUAACUAUUGGAAACGAUAGCUAAUACCGCAUAAUAGUAGAUGUUGCAUGACAUUUGCUUAAAAGGUGCAAUUGCAUCACUACCAGAUGGACCUGCGUUGUAUUAGCUAGUUGGUGGGGUAACGGCUCACCAAGGCGACGAUACAUAGCCGACCUGAGAGGGUGAUCGGCCACACUGGGACUGAGACACGGCCCAGACUCCUACGGGAGGCAGCAGUAGGGAAUCUUCGGCAAUGGACGGAAGUCUGACCGAGCAACGCCGCGUGAGUGAAGAAGGUUUUCGGAUCGUAAAGCUCUGUUGUAAGAGAAGAACGAGUGUGAGAGUGGAAAGUUCACACUGUGACGGUAUCUUACCAGAAAGGGACGGCUAACUACGUGCCAGCAGCCGCGGUAAUACGUAGGUCCCGAGCGUUGUCCGGAUUUAUUGGGCGUAAAGCGAGCGCAGGCGGUUAGAUAAGUCUGAAGUUAAAGGCUGUGGCUUAACCAUAGUACGCUUUGGAAACUGUUUAACUUGAGUGCAAGAGGGGAGAGUGGAAUUCCAUGUGUAGCGGUGAAAUGCGUAGAUAUAUGGAGGAACACCGGUGGCGAAAGCGGCUCUCUGGCUUG